CCGCACCCGCAGCCACGCGCCCGAGGCCGAGCCCUCGAGCGCUCCGCCGCCUCGACCUCGCGACCCGCCGGCGACCGGAUCCUCACCGGAGAUGAGUGCCGCCGUGCCCUGCUCCCUCCUCUCUUCCUCUGUCUCCUCUCACCUCGCUCACCCCCAAUCUCUUUGUCCCCAGAACGAACAGGAGCAUGCCAUGGCCUCGGAUCCGUGCCGCCGUCGCCGGAGAACAUCGUCCGCCACCGGUUCUUCGACCACAAGUACCGGAUCAAAUUGCCCCGCCUCUGAUCUACCGGUUCCCGGCCACCCUAACCUCGCCUCGUCGUCGGGCGCGCAGAGAGACGGCCAUGGCCGCCUGAUUCCCGACCGCCGCCGGCCAAGGUCUUGGAGGGGUGGUUCUGGAGCACAAGCUGCGGCGAGUUGUCGGCUAUGUGACAGAGGAGACCGCCGAGGUCUUGCAAGGGUGGUUCCGGAGCGAAGUGGGAUGUUUGUCAGGUGAAGGACGCCCUUAUGGCGAACGGCGUUGGGUGCUAUCAGCUGGGAAGGCUUCGGACCGGACCAUGGAUGGUGCAGCGGGUGAGAGUUGAGGCAGAUGGCGAGUGCGGUGGAUGCCAAUGCCGCCUAGGUUCUGUUGAUAUCAACAUGGAGGAUACAUAGAGUUUGCUGACUCUAUUCUGGGUUGGCCCUUGAGAGGGAAACCAAGGCAAAAUUCAGCCAAUUUCAGGUGCAUAUAUAUCUAUCCCAUGGGUUUGAGUCCCUAGCUAACUUGGAGCAUUGCACGUAUUGUUAAAUAUAGUUAGUUUCUUUAGUUUACUGGCAAUAAUUGUGAUAAGCAGAGCACAUACGUGCUUGGUUUUAUUUUGAUAAGUAGCUGGCAUGAUGUGAUUUACUAAGUAUUAAUUUGGAAAAACUAGGCCUGGAGAUAAUAUGCCUCCCCGUGUUUUGAGGAUAGUGACUUGUGCCAUGAUCAAAUUCAAUAAGUUUAUAUGAUAAGCUUCUUCAUCUAUGUUAAUUUUUACCUUCGUUUAUAGAACUUUGGUUGUGUUAACAGUUUGAGACGGCCUUAAAGACCAUGUGGUUGAUUUCCAUGUCUGCAUCAUAAUUGCUUGCUGAAGUAACUGCUCCUUCAGCUGUACACUGUAGUUAGGGAAAUCCAUAAUCUUCAUAUACUUAAAGCAUGACAUUUACCUGGAGAUAGUGUGCCUCCCUUUUUUGUGCAACAACUGAUUGUGGUGAUAUAUUGUGGCCAAAUUGAAUGAGCUUAUAUGAUUAACUUCUUCAUCCACAUUUUCAGUUUGGUUUAUGGAAAUUGAACUACUGUCGUGUUAAAACACUCAGCCAGGGCAUCGAUGCACUCUAUCAGCCUCGUGGGGCUUGCAGGUUAAGUAGGUUGCGCCACUCCAUCAGGAUGUCCUCGGCCACUGUUAGUGUUAACUGAUUAAUCAUGCACAUCCAUUGAAGCAAAGAUUCAGACAAAUGUUUGAUUCACUAUAAUUAAUCAAUCAGUAAAAGACUAAUUGUUUAAUCCUACUAGAUAGACACUCCAUCCAUCCAAUCCAGCGAGUUUAAAUUGAUUAAUCCUGCACAUCCUUAAAUUAUAAAGAGUAAUGAAAAUAUUUUGGUGUUGGAGGAGCUGCCAGCAAGUGCAGUUUGCAAACCAAAUGCAGUUUCUAUGGAGAACACUGAUUUGCGACCUCAGCUCAGCCAUAUUGAACAGAUUGAUUACUUUAUGAAAUAGGAGUUAGUCCAUAAUAGUAAUGCCACUCCAAUAUUGGAGGAAGUGUGGAUUGAGCCGAGAAAUUUACUUGACGAUGAAAGGAACGGCUUGCUUCAAAAUUUGCAAAAUAACUUCUCCAAGCUCUCAGUAGAGAAGCAAUAAUGUGACUCCCAGGUGCCACUUUGAGAGAAAAGCUGGAGAUGCUUUGGCAAUGGCAAAAUAAAGGGAAGUAAUUGCUACGGAUGCCAACCAGGUUGGAAUCAACAAGCCCACAUAAUCUUCAGUCUUCCACAAUUAUGUUUUGCUUCAUGUUCUAUGAUCAGGUUGUAAUCUGCUGAUGCGAUUCUGCCCUACUUUGAUUUGGGGAUUCAUCUGGGAUCUAAUUUUGACCGAACAAAGCUGGUUUGUUGGCUGCUGGCUGGUGUCACCCGAUGGUACUGGGCUAUGAAGAGAGAUGUUUUUCCAGCAAUAGAAGUGGCCAGUUAGUUAAGUUGAGGAUUUGUGUGUCAUCUUCUUCAGGCCUGUAGCUUGUGGUUUCAGUCGGAUAGUUAAAGUUGCAUUUUCAGUCAGACACAUGUUUGUUGUUUUGCCUGCUUUUUUCUUGACUGUGCACUCUUGCUGUUCGUUGUCGGCAAUGAUGAAGUUGUUCAUGCAGUGUGGUGGAUGAAACAAUCCUUCUGCUAUUGCCACUGCUUCUGAUUCAUCAAGAUAUCUGUCCAUGCAUAUCUUCUUGAUGAACAGACAUAAAACCUUGGAUGCCCAUAAAUAUGUUAGGUAAUCACUUGUGUUUACUGAGCAUAUGUGUAUUUACAUUUUUUAAACUUUUAUAUGCUUCAACUCCAGCUAACAAUCUGCUGAUGAGAAGCGGUCCCAAUGGAUUUUACACAUUCAAAAAGAAUUGUAACUUCAUCAAACAAAUUAGAGGACCAACCGUAGGUUUCAUGGACGUGUGAAUCAGCAGACAAGUCUAAUUGUUUUUCUAUAUAUGCGCCAAAGAAGAACUAUACAUCCACGGAUAUUCUUAGUCUCUUGCUUGGAGAACCUUUUUUUGCCCUAUUGGUUGCAUAUAAACCUCAACCUCAAAUUGUACUGUACUUUAAAAAACUGGUGUUACUUGAGAACUUAAUGAUGCCUUUGUUCGAUGCAAAGAAUUUCAUUUUUAAGAAAAGGCUGGGACAUCUAAUGUUGUUUGUAUCUUAGUGUUACAAUGUAAAUCAUCUGUGGUAGCAAACAUGUUAACCAGGGCGCAAGUAUGUGAUUCAUGUUGUAUUGUACUUAAAUCAGUUUUUUAUAAUCCACAUAACUAACUACAUGCUUCAUUUGGUUUUGCAUUUUUUUUCUUUUUUCUUUGUCAUGGAGCUGAAUGCAAGUUUCAAUAUGAGAUAUCUCAAGCCUGAAGUCCAAACUGUGCAACGUCUUCUUGGACUAUGAAAAUAUGAGCUGUUUGGCUUCAUUCCAAUCGGUUGGUGCCCCAAAAAGGUUCAAAUAGGGUGGAAGACGGAUUUGUGCUUUGGUUUUGUUGGCAAAUCGAGGGGAGGAGGACGAAGGAGAAACCAAGUUAUGGAGAAAAAUAAUCGAGCCUAGACCCCAUGGCCUUGAGUUGUGUGCAUGUGCGGUGCGACAAAUUGGCGCCCAUUAGGCGGUGAUUAGACAUUAAUUGAUCAUGUGGGGACACGUGAGGGACCCAUCCUACCUCAGUGGAACAAAUCCAUGACACAAGUUCUCCCUCAGUGGAACAAGCCCAUGAGAUUUGAUCUUCAAUGGCGAGAGGUAGUAUGAUGAAUGAUGUAUAGAACAGGUA